UGCGCGGUGGUGUAACGGUAACACAGCAGUCUCAUAAGCUGCAAGCUGCGGGUUCGACUCCCGUCUGCGCUAC
rnacentral:tRNA from 4 species